CUGAUGAGAUCAUGGAUCCUUUAAGGAUUGAACCUGGGUUGGACAUCAAUGGACUGGCUCUUGGAACAAUCCAGAAGGAAUAAAAGGACUCAAAAAUAGCCAGUGGGGAUGGAGAAGUCCAACCCUAGCCAACUACCCCUGAGUAAGAGUUAAAAAAAAAUAAUAAAGUAACUGUUUAAGUGGACA
rnacentral:lncRNA from 1 species